rnacentral:tRNA from 1 species
GGCUUCGUGGUCAAGUGGUAGGGACACUUGCCUCUCACUCUGGAAUCUCGGGUUCGAUCCCCGGCCAGGAGCUA